GCUAUCUGAUAGUCCUUCUUAGCCAUCUUUAGCUCCCGGUUUUUAAGGACUAUCUGCACUUGAAAUGUUCCC
rfam:Marine metagenome ctg_1101668367265, whole genome shotgun sequence.